rnacentral:lncRNA from 1 species
UUGCCAAUGAGACAACUAUCCACAAAAGACCAAAAUGACAGAGACAUUAACAACUAUAGGUCACCGUACGGCCUUCAACAAUGAGCAAAGCCCAACCGCAUAGUCAGCUAUAAAAGACCCCGAUAAGACAAUGUAAAACAAUUCAAACGAGAAAACUAACGGCCUUAUUUAUGUAUAAAAAAAUGAACGAAAAACAAAUAUGUAACACAUAAACAAACGACAACCACUGAAUUACAUGCUCCUGACUUGGGACAGGCACAUACAUAAAUAAUGUGGCGGGGUUUAACAUGUUAGCGGGAUCCCAACCCUCCCCCUAACCUGGGACAGUGGUAUAACAGUACAACAUAAGAACGAACUAUAAAAAUCAGUUGAAAAAGGCUUAACUCAUCAGAUGGACAAAAAUACAAGUG